rnacentral:rRNA from 1 species
AGAGUUUGAUCCUGGCUCAGGAUUAACGCUGGCGGCGUGCAUAACACAUGCAAGUCGAACGAUGAAACUUUAAUGAACCCUUCGGGGAGAAUUAAAGCGGAUUAGUGGCGAACGGGUGAGUAACGCGUGAGUAACCUGCCUUACACAAGGGGAUAGCCUUUGGAAACGAAGAAUAAUACCCUAUAAAACCAUAAAAGCACAUGCAAUUAUGGUCAAAGUGAUAGCGGUGUAAGAUGGACUUGCGUCUGAUUAGCUAGUUGGUGAGAUAAAAGCCCACCAAGGCAACGAUCAGUAGCCGGCUUGAGAGAGUGUACGGCCACAUUGGGACUGAGACACGGCCCAGACUCCUACGGGAGGCAGCAGUGGGGAAUUUUGCACAAUGGGGGAAACCCUGAUGCAGCGACGCCGCGUGAUUUAGAAGGCCUUCGGGUUGUAAAAAUCUUUUGUAUAGGAAGAAAAUGACAGUACUAUACGAAUAAGGUCCGGCUAAUUACGUGCCAGCAGCCGCGGUAAUACGUAAGGACCGAGCGUUGUCCGGAAUCAUUGGGCGUAAAGGGUACGUAGGCGGCUAGAAAAGUUAGAAGUCAAAGGCUAUAGCUCAACUAUAGUAAGCUUCUAAAACUAUUUAGCUUGAGAGAUGGAAGGGAAAGUGGAAUUCCUAGUGUAGCGGUGGAAUGCGCAGAUAUUAGGAGGAAUACCGGUGGCGAAGGCGACUUUCUGGCCAUUUUCUGACGCUGAGGUACGAAAGCGUGGGUAGCAAACAGGAUUAGAUACCCUGGUAGUCCACGCCGUAAACGAUGAGUGUUAGGUGUCUGGAGUCAAAUCUGGGUGCCGCAGCAAACGCAUUAAACACUCCGCCUGGGGAGUACGCACGCAAGUGUGAAACUCAAAGGAAUUGACGGGGACCCGCACAAGCAGCGGAGCAUGUGGUUUAAUUCGACGCAACGCGAAGAACCUUACCAAGUCUUGACAUAUUUUAGAAGCAAUUAGAGAUAAUUGCCUAUAUCUUCGGAUAACUAAAAUACAGGUGGUGCAUGGUUGUCGUCAGCUCGUGUCGUGAGAUGUUGGGUUAAGUCC